GAACGCUAGCUACAGGCUUAACACAUGCAAGUCGAGGGGCAGCAUGGUCUUAGCUUGCUAAGGCCGAUGGCGACCGGCGCACGGGUGAGUAACACGUAUCCAACCUGCCGUCUACUCUUGGACAGCCUUCUGAAAGGAAGAUUAAUACAAGAUGGCAUCAUGAGUCCACAUGUUCACAUGAUUAAAGGUAUUCCGGUAGACGAUGGGGAUGCGUUCCAUUAGAUAGUAGGCGGGGUAACGGCCCACCUAGUCUUCGAUGGAUAGGGGUUCUGAGAGGAAGGUCCCCCACAUUGGAACUGAGACACGGUCCAAACUCCUACGGGAGGCAGCAGUGAGGAAUAUUGGUCAAUGGGCGAGAGCCUGAACCAGCCAAGUAGCGUGAAGGAUGACUGCCCUAUGGGUUGUAAACUUCUUUUAUAAAGGAAUAAAGUCGGGUAUGCAUACCCGUUUGCAUGUACUUUAUGAAUAAGGAUCGGCUAACUCCGUGCCAGCAGCCGCGGUAAUACGGAGGAUCCGAGCGUUAUCCGGAUUUAUUGGGUUUAAAGGGAGCGUAGAUGGAUGUUUAAGUCAGUUGUGAAAGUUUGCGGCUCAACCGUAAAAUUGCAGUUGAUACUGGAUAUCUUGAGUGCAGUUGAGGCAGGCGGAAUUCGUGGUGUAGCGGUGAAAUGCUUAGAUAUCACGAAGAACUCCGAUUGCGAAGGCAGCCUGCUAAGCUGCAACUGACAUUGAGGCUCGAAAGUGUGGGUAUCAAACAGGAUUAGAUACCCUGGUAGUCCACACGGUAAACGAUGAAUACUCGCUGUUUGCGAUAUACUGCAAGCGGCCAAGCGAAAGCGUUAAGUAUUCCACCUGGGGAGUACGCCGGCAACGGUGAAACUCAAAGGAAUUGACGGGGGCCCGCACAAGCGGAGGAACAUGUGGUUUAAUUCGAUGAUACGCGAGGAACCUUACCCGGGCUUAAAUUGCAGAUGAAUUACGGUGAAAGCCGUAAGCCGCAAGGCAUCUGUGAAGGUGCUGCAUGGUUGUCGUCAGCUCGUGCCGUGAGGUGUCGGCUUAAGUGCCAUAACGAGCGCAACCCUUGUUGUCAGUUACUAACAGGUUCUGCUGAGGACUCUGACAAGACUGCCAUCGUAAGAUGUGAGGAAGGUGGGGAUGACGUCAAAUCAGCACGGCCCUUACGUCCGGGGCUACACACGUGUUACAAUGGGGGGUACAGAGGGCCGCUACCACGCGAGUGGAUGCCAAUCCCAAAAACCUCUCUCAGUUCGGACUGGAGUCUGCAACCCGACUCCACGAAGCUGGAUUCGCUAGUAAUCGCGCAUCAGCCACGGCGCGGUGAAUACGUUCCCGGGCCUUGUACACACCGCCCGUCAAGCCAUGGGAGCCGGGGGUACCUGAAGUGCGUAACCGCGAGGAGCGCCCUAGGGUAAAACUGGUGACUGGGGCUAAGU
rnacentral:rRNA from 1 species